rnacentral:tRNA from 1 species
GGGGGAUUAGCUCAGCGGGAGAGCGCCUGCAUGGCAUGCAGGAGGUCACCGGUUCGAAUCCGGUAUCCUCCACCA